CACUAAGAAGCUUUUACAGCAUCAGCCUUUUAAGUUGAAGAAGAAAUACCCUUUCCUUGGUGA
rnacentral:tRNA from 1 species